rnacentral:rRNA from 1 species
AGCCCUACGGGGGGCAGCAGUGGGGGAUAUUGCACAAUGGGGGAAACCCUGAUGCAGCGACGCCGCGUGAGCGAUGAAGUAUUUCGGUAUGUAAAGCUCUAUCAGCAGGGAAGAAAAUGACGGUACCUGACUAAGAAGCCACGGCUAACUACGUGCCAGCAGCCGCGGUAAUACGUAGGGGGCAAGCGUUAUCCGGAUUUACUGGGUGUAAAGGGAGCGUAGAAGGCAGUGCAAGUCUGAAGGGAAAGGCAGUGGCUAA